AGUGAACGCUGGCGGUAGGCCUAACACAUGCAAGUCGAACGGCAGCACAGAGGAGCUUGCUCCUUGGGUGGCGAGUGGCGGACGGGUGAGGAAUACAUCGGAAUCUACUCUGUCGUGGGGGAUAACGUAGGGAAACUUACGCUAAUACCGCAUACGACCUACGGGUGAAAGCAGGGGAUCUUCGGACCUUGCGCGAUUGAAUGAGCCGAUGUCGGAUAGCUAGUUGGCGGGGUAAAGGCCCACCAAGGCGACGAUCCGUAGCUGGUCUGAGAGGAUGAUCAGCCACACUGGAACUGAGACACGGUCCAGACUCCUACGGGAGGCAGCAGUGGAGAAUAUUGGACAAUGGGCGCAAGCCUGAUCCAGCCAUACCGCGUGGGUGAAGAAGGCCUUCGGGUUGUAAAGCCCUUUUGUUGGGAAAGAAAUCCAUCUGGUUAAUACCCGGGUGGGAUGACGGUACCCAAAGAAUAAGCACCGGCUAACUUCGUGCCAGCCGCCGCUGUAA
rnacentral:rRNA from 1 species